CAUUACCGAGUUUACAACUCCCAAACCCCUGUGAACAUACCUAUACGUUGCCUCGGCGGAUCAGCCCGCGCCCCGUAAAACGGGACGGCCCGCCCGAGGACCCCUAAACUCUGUUUUUAGUGGAACUUCUGAGUAAAACAAACAAAUAAAUCAAAACUUUCAACAACGGAUCUCUUGGUUCUGGCAUCGAUGAAGAACGCAGCAAAAUGCGAUAAGUAAUGUGAAUUGCAGAAUUCAGUGAAUCAUCGAAUCUUUGAACGCACAUUGCGCCCGCCAGUAUUCUGGCGGGCAUGCCUGUUCGAGCGUCAUUUCAACCCUCAAGCUCAGCUUGGUGUUGGGACUCGCGGUAACCCGCGUUCCCCAAAUCGAUUGGCGGUCACGUCGAGCUUCCAUAGCGUAGUAAUCAUACACCUCGUUACUGGUAAUCGUCGCGGCCACGCCGUUAAACCCCAACUUCUGAAUGUUGACCUCGGAUCAGGUAGGAAUACCCGCUGAACUUAAGCAUAUCA
rnacentral:rRNA from 1 species